GGCGGUGUAGCUUAGCUGGCCUAUAGCGAUCGGUUCAUACCCGAUAGAUCGGCGGUUCGAAUCCACCCACCGCUACCA
rnacentral:tRNA from 1 species